rnacentral:rRNA from 1 species
GACGAACGCUGGCGGCGUGCUUAACACAUGCAAGUCGAACGGAAAGGCCCUGCUUGCAGGGUACUCGAGUGGCGAACGGGUGAGUAACACGUGGGUGAUCUGCCCUGCACUUCGGGAUAAGCUUGGGAAACUGGGUCUAAUACCGGAUAGGAAUCAUCCUUAGUGUGGCGGUUGGAAAGUUUUUUCGGUGUAGGAUGAGCUCGCGGCCUAUCAGCUUGUUGGUGGGGUAAUGGCCUACCAAGGCGGCGACGGGUAGCCGGCCUGAGAGGGUGUACGGCCACAUUGGGACUGGGAUACGGCCCAGACUCCUACGGGAGGCAGCAGUGGGGAAUGUUGCACAAUGGGCGCGAGCCUGAUGCAGCGACGCCGCGUGGGGGAUGAAGGCCUUCGGGUUGUAAACUCCUUUCGCUAGGGACGAAGCUUUUUGUGACGGUACCUAGAUAAGAAGCACCGGCUAACUACGUG